GCCAGUGUGGUACAAUGGCUUGAGCAUUGGACCAUAACUCUAGAGACCAGGGUUCAUUUCCCUGCUCGGACA